GCUCGCCCGACACUCGCGCUCGGCGCCCCGCACACCCGACGUGCGGCGCCCGGCAUCACCCGACGCGCCCACACGGCAGUGUGCGUGCCCGACGCACGACACAUACGAUGCCCACCAUCGAACCAGCCAAGUUGCCUAGGACGGGACAACUCGACACCAAUAUGCCGAGGCGUGCCUCUGACUCGACACAUCUCGGCGCCAACCAUCAAGGGGCUAACA
rnacentral:lncRNA from 1 species